rnacentral:rRNA from 1 species
AGUGAACGCUGGCGGUAGGCCUAACACAUGCAAGUCGAACGGCAGCACAGUAAGAGCUUGCUCUUACGGGUGGCGAGUGGCGGACGGGUGAGGAAUACAUCGGAAUCUAUUUUUUCGUGGGGGAUAACGUAGGGAAACUUACGCUAAUACCGCAUACGACCUACGGGUGAAAGCAGGGGAUCUUCGGACCUUGCGCGAUUGAAUGAGCCGAUGUCGGAUUAGCUAGUUGGCGGGGUAAAGGCCCACCAAGGCGACGAUCCGUAGCUGGUCUGAGAGGAUGAUCAGCCACACUGGAACUGAGACACGGUCCAGACUCCUACGGGAGGCAGCAGUGGGGAAUAUUGGACAAUGGGCGCAAGCCUGAUACAGCCAUACCGCGUGGGUGAAGAAGGCCUUCGGGUUGUAAAGCCCUUUUGUUGGGAAAGAAAAGCAGCAGGUUAAUACCCCGCUGUUCUGACGGUACCCAAAGAAUAAGCACCGGCUAACUUCGUG